CAUCAGGAUUUUCUAAAAUCCACCCCGCAUUCGAAGACUAUUGAUA
rfam:Thalassiosira oceanica strain CCMP1005 To_g21130, whole genome shotgun sequence.